rnacentral:rRNA from 1 species
CACGUAGGGACCGAGCGUUGUCCGGAUUCAUUGGGCGUAACGAGCUCGUAGGCGGCCACUCAAGUCGAAUGUGAAACCUCGAGGCUUAACCUCGAGCCUGCAUUCGAUACUGGGCGGCUAGAGUCUGGUAGGGGGAUCUGGAAUUCCUGGUGUAGCGGUGGAAUGCGCAGAUAUCAGGAGGAACACCGGUGGCGAAGGCGGGAUCCUGGGCCAGUACUGACGCUGAGGAGCGAAAGCGUGGGGAGCAAACAGG